UUGGCAUUUGCUCUCGUUCAGCUGCUAUUGCCUUUACGACCGCUGAUC
rnacentral:ribozyme from 1 species